rnacentral:rRNA from 1 species
AACGGCGUCGAGCGGCGGACGGGUGAGUAAUGCCUAGGAAAUUGCCCUGAUGUGGGGGAUAACCAUUGGAAACGAUGGCUAAUACCGCAUGAUGCCUACGGGCCAAAGAGGGGGACCUUCGGGCCUCUCGCGUCAGGAUAUGCCUAGGUGGGAUUAGCUAGUUGGUGAGGUAAGGGCUCACCAAGGCGACGAUCCCUAGCUGGUCUGAGAGGAUGAUCAGCCACACUGGAACUGAGACACGGUCCAGACUCCUACGGGAGGCAGCAGUGGGGAAUAUUGCACAAUGGGCGCAAGCCUGAUGCAGCCAUGCCGCGUGUGUGAAGAAGGCCUUCGGGUUGUAAAG